AUGAACGGAGGAGGUAGCGCGACGCCCUUCUCCCGCACCACCACCACCCUCUGCACCACUUCUUCUACCUUGCAAGCAGGUGAGUCGGGCCAAGGGGAUAGGGAAGCUGCUAUUCAAGCCGAGAUGGCCAGGGUUAACAACCUGCCAGCCAAUAGUUCCUACGCGAUUCACCGCAUUAAGGUGCUGAACAAACUUCGCCAUCUUUUAUCUAUAAAAGGACCACAUCUCAGGAUGAGGAGCUUGAACUCCUUUUCUCAAGCCUUUCAAUUUAAAGUUUAUCCUCAGUAUCUACAUGUACUAGGUGAUGUCACUGUUUCGGUGUAUCUAAUCAUCGAUUGCCCCCGCCUGUCCAGUGUAGCAUAUAUUCCCAAUGGUUAUCAAGUUUGA
rnacentral:rRNA from 1 species